UUUAUCGAGUUUUCUCCUUCACUCAUUUUUUUCUUCUCUUCCAACACUCAACACUAAACUGAGAUUUGCGGAAUCAAACCCAAAAAAUCGAAGCCAAAAUCCAUCUAUUCAUAAACCUUCAUCUCACAAAUCAAAACCCAUCUUUCAUAAAUCAAACCCAUUCAUCGAUAAUCCCAAUUUCGUUUCAAACCCUAGAUUUAUUUGGAAACCAAAACCCAUCAAUCCUAAGCUCUCAUCUCACAAAUCGAAACCCAUCUUUCAUAAAUUAAAACCAGUCAUUGAUAAUCCCAAUUUCGUUUCAACCCUAGAUUCGUAUGUGAUUUCUCCAUCAGAAACCCUAACAAACUAUUUUCUCAAUUUUUAUGAAUUUGAGUUUUGAGUUUCGCUACUGUAUAUCUUCACAUCUAUUUGUAUGAUUUUAUAGGGUUUAUUUUUGUUGAGUUUUUAUUCCGGAAUUUAUAAGUAGACAGAAUCAUUUAGGUUUUAGAUUAACAGGUUUCUUUUUCGUUUGGGUGCUGUUUUUGGUUUCUCUUCGGAGAAUCCGAGCUAAUAUCUAUAAUUUGUGGUGUUUGUAUUGGAUUGUAUGGUUUUUUUUUUGUUUCUCUUUUUGUUCCAUGAAGUUAUUGAAUCACAUAUUCAGUGUAGUGUUGACCACUUUAGAAGAUUUAUUAGGACUUCUGCAAUCCUAGAAGGUGGUAUCAUGUAAAUUUCAAGUUUAUUUUUUAUUUUUUUAUGUAUAUGAAAACAUAAUCAUUCCCUUUAUGGAUCAUUUUUAUUGUAGGUGGAGUUAUGAAGGAAUAAACUUUGUACACUCUUUACUUAGUUGUACCCACUUGUAUCACAGCUACUGAAGCUUAGGAGAAGAUGAUAACUCUGAGGUGGCUAGAUCAAUUGGUGCAAGGUUUGUUGUGGACGACGAUGCUAGAUCUUGUUUAUGCAGGGACAGGUAGCUAAAAGACAUACCUCAUACCCAUGUUAUUGCAUUUCUAGGCCAUUGUAGGUCGCAGAUGGAGUAAGUAUAAAUCCAACUGUAACCUCACUGUGUGAGUUUGAAGUUUAUAGCCUCUUAUGUUAAUACUUUUUAUCUUCAUGAGUUGGUUCAAUGUGCCUUUAUCUAUAUCCAAACGUUGAUGUUUCUACUGUGCUUUUGACAUAGAUCUUUAUGUUUUUCAGUGUGAAAAGGUGGAUACUUGUCUGGUUGAUUUUGAUGACGGUUAGGUGAAAGUACAACCAAUAUCUUAAAGCAUUUUUUACGGAGCUAAAACCAGAUUCAAAACGCGUCAUAACCCUUUCUGCAGUCUUAUUACAUCUCAUUCAGGUUGGAUUUAUUUAUUGCCUAUCAGUUUCACAUGCUUGCGUAAAUUUUUUGAGUGUUCUCUUUCCGCAGGUCUCCCAACUGAAUGGAGAGGCAACAAAGGAGAGACCUCAAGUGUACAGACAGGAAAAAUUAUUAUAUUCGUAGAAAAUGUAACCAAUGUGUUCUUCCGGUUGAGUUUGAUUGUCUUUCAAUUGAGAUGGCAUGUUCUUUAGGUAUUGUCGAGUUUGUUCUAUUUUUAGAUUCUCUCCUUAAUUUUAAUUUAUUGAUUUGGUAGUGUUAAUUGAUGUUGAUGGCAGGAAGAAGUACUAGCAGAUCUUUAGGUUUUAUAGCUAAAGCCAGUGAAAGCUUCGUUAAACUCAACAACUUUGGUCGAUAAUGAUUAAUGGGAUUGAGAUGAUCAGGUUCUUAUGGAAUUCCCUCAAUUGACCAUGACGUAACCUGAUGGGGCUGAAGAGUCUGUCAUUAAACGUACUACUCUAAAAGCUAACACUAACAUGCAUGUGGCUGCUCGAGAGGCCUCUAUUUAUAUAGGAAACUGCUUUUACUUCCGCUAGAAUUUUGGCGAAACCAACAACUCCUGUUUGAUAAGUUGGAUAUAUUAUCAAUGAAAAUAUGAAUCUUAUGAUGAGAGACAUAGAAAUCAGUAUGAUGUAAAUAUGAAUUUUGUCCUGUCAUCGAAUUUCUAAACUCCCUCUCCAAUUUCGAUCUGCAGCUAUUGUCAGCAAGCACAGGCUAUUGGAGAGGAGGUGCCAAAUGACAACUUUAAAAUCGUGCUUAAAGAAAUAUGUUGUGAGUUCAAGACAGUGACCGUAGUUUCCUUGGUUACCAGCACCAGCAGAAAGAAUAAUAUUUACUGCCAAGAGCUGAUGCUCAUUAUGAGGAGAUGCUGCAAGUUUCAAACAACAAGUCAGUUCGAGCUUAGGUGAUCCAAUUUCACUUGGAGUAGCUUUAUAGUUUAGUUAUUUUCUUAUGUUUUUUGGAAUGAGCAUUAUCGAAUUCAUUGUGUAUGUAAUUAAUGUCGUGAAAGAAUGUUGUAAGAUUAUUUUAUAAAGAUGAAUGCAACGUGGGUUUUGUAA